rnacentral:miRNA from 10 species
GGGUCCGUGGUGGCAUCAGAGAUCAAGAGGGAACUGCUCUGUAUCCCACUUCUGACACCACGUAAUAUAAAC